UCCUACGGGGGGCAGCAGUGAGGAAUAUUGGUCAAUGGGCGGGAGCCUGAACCAGCCAAGUCGCGUGAGGGAAGACGGUCCUAUGGAUUGUAAACCUCUUUAGGCGGGGAGCAAUGCCGGGCACGCGUGCCCGGAGGGAGAGUACCCGCAGAAUAAGCAUCGGCUAACUCCGUGCCAGCAGCCGCGGUAAUACGGAGGAUGCGAGCGUUAUCCGGAUUUAUUGGGUUUAAAGGGUGCGCAGGCGGCGUGUCAAGCAAGCGGUAAAAUAGCGGGGCUCAACCCCGUCGAGCCGUUUGAACUGGCGC
rnacentral:rRNA from 1 species